UACGGAGGAUGCAAGCGUUAUCCGGAAUGAUUGGGCGUAAAGCGUCCGCAGGUGGCUAUGUAAGUCUGCUGUUAAAGCGUCUAGCUCAACUAGAUAAAAGCAGUGGAAACUACAAGGCUAGAGUGCGUUCGGGGCAGAGGGAAUUCCUGGUGUAGCGGUGAAAUGCGUAGAGAUCAGGAAGAACACCGGUGGCGAAGGCGCUCUGCUAGGCCGCAACUGACACUGAGGGACGAAAGCUAGGGGAGCGAAUGGG
rnacentral:rRNA from 1 species